ensembl:lncRNA
GGCUCAUGGCACAGAACGGCACACAAAGUAAGCCCAUGGCACACAGCUGGUGGCACAGCACUGUAUUCAUGGUAAGGCCAUGGCACACGGCUCGUGGCACAGCACGGCACACGCGGUAAGCCCACGGCUCACAGCUGGUGGCACAGCCGUGCCCACGGCACACGGCACAGCCGGCAUCAGGCCGCGCCGAGGCGCCGGCAGGUGAGCAGGUAGAGCGGAUAGGCGUCCUCGGCACUGAAGAUGUGGAGGGCCGGGCGCCGGCUGCGGUCCAACGCGGGGCUCCCGGUCAGAACUUUGGCCACCAAAAUGCAUUUGGUGCCGUCGGCAGAAGUGGGCGAAUGGAGCUCCUGGGCCGCCAGCGCCGCCGUCACCGCGAAGGGAACGCCGCGGCACCGCAGGGGGCCUGGGGGCACAGCGCCACACGUGGCACCCGGUGGGCGACGGGGCCAACGGUGCCACACGGCUCGUGGUGUCACCAAUGGCACCAAUGGCACCAAUGGCACCAAUGGCACCAAUGGCAUCCAUGGCAUUUGGGGCUCACGGUGUCACCAAUGGCACCAAUGGCACCAGUGCCACUUGGGGCUCGUGGUGUCACCAAUGGCACCAAUGGCAUCAAUGGCACCAAUGGCAUUUGGGGCUCACAGUGUCACCAACGCCACCAAUGUCACCAGUGCCACAUGGGGCUCGUGGUGUCACCAAUGCCAUCAAUGUCACCAGUGCCAAAUGGGGCUCAUAGUGUCACCAAGGCACCAAUGGCACCCAUGGCACCAAUGGCACCACAUGGGGCUCACGGUGGCACCAAUGGCACCAAUGCCAUCAAUGUCAUUUGGGGCUCACGGUGUCACCAACGCCACCAAUGUCACCAGUGGCAAAUAGGGCUCGUGGCGUUACCAAUGGCACCAAUGGCACCAAUGUCAUUUGGGGAUCAUGGUGUCACCAGUGCUACCAACACCACCAAUAUCACCAGUGCCACAAGCAGCUCGUGGUGUCACCAACGGCACCAAUAGCAUCAAUGGCACCAAUGUCAUUUGGGGCUCAUGGCGUCACCAAGGGACCAAUGACAUCAAUGUCACCAGCACCACAUGGAGCUCGUGGUGUCACCAAUGGCACCAAUGCCAUCAAUGUCAUUUGGGGCUCACGGUGUCACCAACGCCACCAAUGUCACCAGUGCCACAUGGGGCUCGUGGCAUCACCAAUGGCACCAAUGACACAAAUGACACCAAUGUCAUUUGGGGCUCGUGGUGUCACCAGUGCCACCAAUGCCACCAAUGUCACCAGUGCCACAUGGGGCUCACGGUGUCACCAGUGGCACCCAUGGCACCAAUGCCAUCAAUGUCAUUUGGGGCUCGUAGUGCCACCAAUGCCACCCAUGUCACCAGUGCCAUAUGGGGCUCGUGGUGUCACCAAUGUCACCAAUGCCACCAACAUCAUCAGCAGUGCCAUCUGGGGGCUCACGGUGUCACCAAUGGCACCAGUGGCACCAAUGGCACCAAAGGCACCAAUGUCAUUUGGGGCUCACGGUGUCACCAACGCCACCCAUGUCACCGGUGCCACCGGUGCCACGUGAGUCGCAGUGUCACCAGUACCAGCAGUGCCACCAGAUCCACACAUCACCCGCAGUGCCACCAAUGUCACCGGCGCCACGUGCGACUCAUGGCGCCACCAGCGCCACCAGCGUCACCAGUGUCACCAGCGCCACGGGUGAAGCCCGGUGUCACCAAAGCCAGGAAUGCCCCACGGUGUCACCAACAGGGGUCCCCAAAAGUGGGUGGGGGUCCCCAGUGGGGUCCACAAAAGUGGGUAGGGGUCCCCCAAUAGGAUCCCCAAAAGUAGGUGGGGGUCUCCAAAAGUGGGUGGGGGUCCCCCAAACGGGGUCAGAGCCUGCCAAAAUUGGGUGGGGGGUCUCCCAAUUGAGGAGGGGUCCCCCAGCGGGGUUUGGGGCCCCUAAAUGAGGCCGGGGGUCCCCAAAAGGAGCGGGUCUGGGGGCUCCCCACCGCGUCCCAUGCGGACCCUCGGAUCGGACCCCUCCCCAAAUUGCGCCCAGGGACCCCCGUGUCGCCCNNNNNNNNNCCCGCCCCUCCCCCACUCACCGAGGAAGCCUUGCAGGCAGACCGCGCGCCCGCGGGGGGCGGUGGUGCCGUAGAACAGCAGCUGUUCCCCCGAAGCGCCUUCCCCCCUCCGCUCCAUCUCGGCUCGGCGCCGCCGGAAGUGGCCGUAAAGCCGCGGGUGGAUCAACUGCUCCGCCUGCGGGGAGCGGCGUCAGGAGACCCCACACCCAAUUCGGGACCCCACACCCAAAUCGGGACCCCAGACCCAAAUGGGGACCCCCGGCCCUGCUUACAGAACUCGGGAGCUCAGCCCCAACUGGGGACGCCUGCUCCCAUUGGUGACCCCAGACCCAAUUUGAGACCCCAGACCCAAUUCGGGAGCACCACCCCCACUGCGGACCCCAGACCCAAAUGGGGACCCCCGACCCUGUAUAGAGAACUCGGGAGCUCAGCCCCAAUUAGGGACGCCCGCUCCCAUAGGUGACCCCAGACCCAAUUUGGGACCCCAGAUCCAAUUCGGGACUACUGCCCCCACUGCAGACCCCAGACCCAAAUGGGGACCCCCGACCCUACAGAGAGAACUCGGGAGCUCAGCCCCAAUUAGGGAUGCCCACUCCUAUAGAUGACCUCAGACCCAGCUGGGGACCCCAGACCCAAUUCGGGACCCCAGACCCAAUUCAGGAGCAUCGCCCCCAUCAGUGACCCCAGACCCAAAUGGAGACCUUCGACCCUACAGAGAGAACUCGGGAGCUCAGCCCCAAUUAGGGAUGCCCGCUCCUAUCGGUGACCUCAGACCCAGCU